CGGAAACUCCUCUCUCUCCUUUUCUUAUCCUCCCUAUGUGUAAAGAUAUAGUCUAUACCUCAUUUGACCAUUUGAUAUAAUGAGCUAGAUAAAUAAUAUUUUCCUGUAAUAAAAUAAUUAAAUAAUUUAGUUAAAGUUAUUUCCUUUUCAUUAUAUAAAAAUCAAUAACGUUAUGAAUUAUUCCAUAUACACAGUUUAAUUUGUCAGUGUAAACAAAAUACAAACGUAAAGGUAACUUUUUUUUUCUUUUUUGGCUGCCCCACGGCAUAUAGAAAUCCUAGGCCACCUAUGUUGCAGCUGCAGCAGCUCCAGAUCCUUUAAGCCACUGUGCGGGGCCGAGGAUCAAACCUGCUUCCCGGCACUGUAGGGAUGCUGCCAAACCCACCAUGCCAAAGCAGGAUCCUGAAGGUAUUUGGAGCAAAAGAGAUAGAUACCUUUUACUUGAAUCCACUCUAACAAAAUAACCAAUGACGAGGAGAUACUUUAUUGGAGAAGGUGUUAUGGGAUUACCAAAAAAACCCCCACAAACAACAAAACCUGGCAACAGAAUAUAAACAACAUGAAAUCCAAACAGGAAUGGAGUAAUGACACCUUUGAAUUUGUGUAUCUCCAUGGCAUCUCACUUCUAGGUAUUCCCAUGUAGGAAAAUCGAAUGCAUGGUAUGAUAACAAAAGGGCUUCACUAAAGUUUGAAGCCUGUUUAUGCUGGAGGAAGAAAUGAGAAAUGAAUUGGAUGAAAGGUGGUAUGAAAGGUAAAGUAUUUGCCAUUUUGUUGUUUUUUAUGAUUGAACCCCUCAGUUCCCACAGUGACUUUCUAGACCUUACAAAUCAAUUUAUUUUUAAAAAUGACUCUCUUUUUGCAAUACAUCAAAAGACUUUUUGACCUAUCUACUUUCAAUUCCCAGAUUAUUUAAGUACUACUUCAUAGAAUAACCCCUUGUCAUUUUUCUAACCAUAAUCAUUUUGACACGUUUAUAGCCAAAAUGCUAUUUCCAUCCCUUCAUAGACUGACAAAAAUGUCCUCAGCUUGUCAGAGGGAUUAACAAAAUAGGGAUGGUGUGGGAAAAAGAGAGCAAAGAGUUUAGUUACAUUAUUUUUUUUCUUUUGACAGAAAUAUGUAGCAAGUAUGAAUGCCCAUUGAACAAUUAUAUAUUUCAUACUAUAGCCUUAUCACAACAGAAAAGUUAUGUGGGAAUUUUGUAGCUUCCCAUCAAUUAUAAAAUACCAGAGCACUGGUCAGUUGACUACAGGGAGCAAUUGUUGGUCUAGUAAAUCCAACAAAUUUGUUCUUACAUACCGAGAAGACAUACCUCCAAGAAUAUAUGCUUGUGUAUAAAAAUUUCAUCCGAAAAAGAUAUAUUUGAGGUUAUUCUGCAAUUUCACUUUAUGGGAUUCUAAAGAUAUGAGAACAAAUUAAUUUACAAUUACUGUUUCAUUUUUAAAAAUAACACAUUUGUAGUAAAUUGAACUUUCCACCAAACAUUCCAUACUUCCCCCUUCCCACAUAAAAAGAUAAUGCAGUCAUCAUAAUGAGCUAAAUAUUGUACUAAACAUUUAAAGGCUAAUAAUAAGCAUAACUUUUGCUAGUAAUGUUAUAGAAAAGACAAAGUAAGUGAUUUCAUUACAUAAAUCAAAUAUCUGAGGUUCACUGAUCAAAAUAUCUCAAGGUAUAACUCUGAAGUUACUGUUUCUGAUUUCAUAACAACAUGAAGGCAACUCAUCCCCUCACAAUUUAUACACUGUCUUAACAACUUACAGGUUUUUGCCAUUUGUAAUGAACCCUUCAAUCAUUCUACAUAUUUCUCUGGUCAAAUUAUUAACAGAAAUAAAAAUUUUAAAAUAAAGCUCAUGUGAUACGUGUUUCCCCAAACGGUCCCUUGCUCACUUCCAGUGUGACCUUGACACUCCAGCAUCAAGGGGCAAAGGCUAUUUUCUGUAACCUUGAAGCCAGGUAGACACUGACUACUUUGACCCAUAUGAUGAGGCAAAAGUGGCAUUCUCUGAGCCCUGGGCCCAGUCUAAAAAGUACCGGCAGCUGGCAUUCCUGGCCUCUUAGAAGGCUCACUCUUAGGACACGCCCUCUCAGAACUCAGCUGCCAUGCUGUGAGAAAACCAAGUCACGUGGAGGGGCUGUGGGUCCCGCAGGCAUUUCCCUCCACAGCCUCGCUGAGCUCCCUGCUGACUGUGUAACAACAGCAGCCACCAGCAAGUGAGAAUCGUCUGAAUAUCCAGCCCAAAGGACCCUUCUGAGACGCCAGCCUCAGCUUCCGACCGACUAAACGCCAGGAGAGGCAUCCAGAAAACUGUGGUGGACGUGAAGAAUAGGAAGCUGAUACAUGCUGGUUCUUCUGUGCGAUAAGAAAAAUGUUUUACCUUGCAUUUAAAGAAGAUUUUUGUUACAGUCUGUUUCAGAAGAGUAAUACAACUUUGAAGAUGAUAUCUUAAAUAGGAAAAAAAUGAUUUAAAAAAACCUGCCCCUCUCCCUGUCAGUGAUCUCUCCAAGUCAGUUACAUUUUAUGUAUUAAUCACAAUUACACCAAUAAAACGACUCUGAAGAAGUAAAAUGUAAUUGUUGUUUGAAAGUUGUGAAGAAAACAGACCUGAGUGUGCGAAUAACUAUAUUCUUACAAUAAGUAACUGAAAAUCCAAGCGGUUCCCUCGGAGAAGCAUUAUCAACGGUUCUAAUACGUGGCGUUCGCGGAAGUUGCUUUCCUUCAUACUGGCUUUAGUUAGUCUCACUGGGGAUGGUUUAUUUCGCUCAAGAUGCGCUGGCAGAGACCAUUUCAAACGAAUUUAUCUUUCACCUGGACCAAAGUAGAGCAGCGUAUUGGAAUUUGUUGAUUUGUGGUUCCACCGUAAAAUAAACUUGAAAUCAAGUAAGUUUUCGUGAAAGAACUUCGAAGGCCACUUGGUGAAACUCCUCAGUUACCCAGUAGCCCCGUUUAACUUUCCCCUGGAGCCUCUUUAAAUGACUUUUGCAGACCCACGUGCUGCAAAGAAGACUUGAGCUGAAGCUACCACCCUGCGCAGCGACUACAGGGACAGAAUUUGGCUUCCCCGCGCUCUCUGAUAUGCGACGUUUCGUUUUAAGGCUCCCGUGAUCCAGUGGGUUGACCAGUGACUUGUGCAAAAGAAAACUAUUCGUUCGCUGUUUGCCCUUUCAGCGUUUCCCUCGGCUGCGGAAACCCGGUUUUCCUAUUAUUAUACUUCAACUUUUUUUGGAGUCUGUUAGCACAGAGCACUAAACCCCGGCCGGCUCCAGCAGCAGCGAGGCGAACAAAGCCUUCAGUGUUCGAGGCCACGCCGGGGCGGGGGUGGUGGGUGAGGGAAAGGAAUUGCAAAUAAAUAUAUUUUAUGACCACCCAUCAACAAACUACGCGCCACCAUGUCAGCCCCUGGUAGCCAGGCUGGGU